rnacentral:tRNA from 1 species
GCCUGGGUGGUUCAAUUGGUUGAGCAUCUGACUUCGACUCAGGUCAGGAUCUCACAGUUCAUGGGUUCAAGCCCUGCCUGGGUU